UACACUCCUACGGGAGGCAGCAGUGGGGAAUAUUGCACAAUGGGCGCAAGCCUGAUGCAGCCAUGCCGCGUGUAUGAAGAAGGCCUUCGGGUUGUAAAGUACUUUCAGCGGGGAGGAAGGCGAUAAGGUUAAUAACCUUGUUGAUUGACGUUACCCGCAGAAGAAGCACCGGCUAACUCCGUGCCAGCAGCCGCGGUAAUACGGAGGGUGCAAGCGUUAAUCGGAAUUACUGGGCGUAAAGCGCACGCAGGCGGUCUGUCAAGUCGGAUGUGAAAUCCCCGGGCUCAACCUGGGAACUGCAUUCGAAACUGGCAGGCUAGAGUCUUGUAGAGGGGGGUAGAAUUCCAGGUGUAGCGGUGAAAUGCGUAGAGAUCUGGAGGAAUACCGGUGGCGAAGGCGGCCCCCUGGACAAAGACUGACGCUCAGGUGCGAAAGCGUGGGGAGCAAACAGGAUUAGAUACCCGGGUAGUCCCAUGA
rnacentral:rRNA from 1 species